GUGGGCUAUUUCUUUGCAAAACUGUGCUCAAUUUCAUAUGGGGCAAUUCCGCCAAGAUCUCUUCGUUAGUUGGGGGAAGAAUCUGCCCGAAUCGGAUUUUUGAGGAACGUAUCGAGAGGGAAUUGGAUUUGGUUAGACAAUGUGUGGUUGGUAAACAAGGAUCGGUUUUUUAGCAAAGGUACAGAAUGUAUCGUCAAAUAUUCAAUAUGAUUCCCACAAGAUCUAGUUUCGUUCAAGUAACGGAUUCUAGCCAACUGAAAGGAUCUUCUGAUCAAUCCAGAGAUCAUUUGGAUUCCAUCAUUAAUGAGGAUUCGGAAUAUCACACAUUGAUUAAUCAAAGAGAGAUUCAACAACGAAAAGAAAGAUCGAUUCUUUGGGAUCCUUCCUUUCUUCAAACGGAACGAAAAGAGAUAGAAUCAGGCCGAUCCCCGAAAUGCCUUUCUGGAUAUUCCUCAAUGUCCCGGCUAUUCACGGAACGUGAGAAGCAGAUGAUUAAUUAUCUGUUUCCGGAAGAAAUCGAAGAAUUUCUUGGGAAUCCUACAAGAUCCGUUCGUUCUUUUUUCUCUGAUAGAUGGUCAGAACUUCAUCUAGGUUCGAAUCCUACUGAGAGGUUCCACUAGAGAUCAGAAAUUGUUGAAGAAACAACAAGAUCUUUCUUUUGUCCCUUCUAGGCGAUCGGAAAAGAAAGAAAUGGUUAAUAUAUUCAUGAUAAUUACGUAUUUACAAAAUACCAUCUCAAUUCAUCCUAUUUCAUCAGAUCCGGGAUGUGAUAUGGUUCCGAAGGAUGAACCGGAUAUGGGCAGUUCCAAUAGAUUUCAUUCUUGAACAAAAAUCCAUUUUUUUUUAUUUCAUCUAUUCCAUGACCGGAACAGGGGAGUAUACACGUUACACUACGAUUUUGCAUCAGAAGAGAGAUUUCAAGAAAUGGCAGAUCUAUUCACUCUAUCAAUAACCGAGCUGGAUCUGGUGUAUCAUAAGGGAUUUGCCUUUCUAUUGAUUCCUGCGGAUUGGAUCAAAAACAAUUCUUUAAUGAGGCCAGGGAUUAAUCGAAAAAGAAAUCUUUAUUGGUUCUACCUCCUAUUUUUUAUGAAGAGAAUGAAUCUUUUUCUCGAAGGAUCAGAAAAAAAUGGUCAGGAUCUCCUGCGGGAAUGAUUUGGAAGAUCCAAAACCAAAAAUAGUGGUAUUUGCUGCAACAACAUAAUGGAGGCAGUCAUCAAUAUAGAUUGAUCCGAAAAUCUGAUUCAAAUCAAUAUAGUACCUAUGGGUACAUAGAAAUGUAUUGAAUCGAUUCUUUUUAAUGAAUAGAUCCGAUCGCAACUCGAAUAUGGAAUUCAAAGGGAUCAAAUAGGAAAGGAUACUCUGAAUCAUAGAACUGAAAAAGAGUCAGAAGAAAUGGUUCGAGCCUCUUAUUUUGAUUUCUCGAACCGAGAGAUCCAUGAAUCGGGAUCCUGAUGCAUAUAGAUACAAAUGGUCCAAUGAGAGCAAAGAGUUUCCAGGAACAUUUGGAACAGUCCGUUUCGAAGCAAGAAGAGCGUUUUCAAGUAGUGUUCGAUCGAUUACGUAUUAAUCAAUAUUCGAUUGAUUGGNNNNNNNNNNNNNNNNNNNNNNNNNNNNNNNNNNNNNNNNNNNNNNNNNNNNNNNNNNNNNNNNNNNNNNNNNNNNNNNNNNNNNNNNNNNNNNNNNNNNAAUCCAUCUUGUUUAGCAGAAAGAAAACGGUAUUCCUUGCUCAUUAUCAGACAAUCACUUAUUCACAAACUUCGUGUGGGAAAAAUAGUUUUCAUUUCCCAUCUCAUGGAAAACCCUUUUCGCUCUGCUUAGCCUUAUCCCCCUCUAGGGGUAUUUUAGUGAUAGGUUCUAUAGGAACUGGACGAUCCUAUUUGGUCAAAUACCUAGCGACAAACUCCUAUGUUCCUUUCAUUACGGUAUUCUGAACAAGUUCCUGGAUAACAAGUCUAAAGGUUUUCUUCUUGAUGAGAUCGAUAUUGAUGAUAGUGACGAUAUUGAUGAUAGUGACAAUCUUGAUGCUAGUGACGAUAUCGAUCGUGACCUUGAUACGGAGCUGGAAUGCUAACUAGGAUGAAUGGGCUAACUGUGGAUAUGAUGCCGGAAAUAGACCGAUUUUAUAUCACCCUUCAAUUCGAAUUAGCAAAAGCAAUGUUCCUUGCAUAAUAUGGAUUCCAAACAUUCAUGAUCUGGAUGGGAAUGAGUCCGAAUGACUUAUCCCUCGGUCUAUUAGUGAACCAUCUCUCCAGGGAUUGUGAAAGAUGUUCUACUAGAAAUAUUCUUGUUAUUGCUCGACUCAUAUUCCCCAAAAAGUGGAUCCCGCUCUAAUAGCUCCGAAUAAAUUAAAUACGUGCAUUAAGAUACGAAGGCUUCUUAUUCCACAACAACGAAAGCACUUUUUUCACUCUUUCAUAACUAGGGGAUUUCACUUGGAAAGAAAAUGUUCCAUACUAACGGAUUCGGGUCCAUAACCAUGGGUUCCAAUGCACGAGAUCUU
rnacentral:lncRNA from 1 species